ACAGUUUUCUAUUUUCAGUUAGGACAACAAAGAUACUGGCGUUAAGGACGCUGCAAGUUGUGUUUGAUGUUGUGCUUGGCGUUAUUGCUUCAUCUAAACAACUUUUACAGUACGUUGAUGAUGGGGUAUUGCUGAUGACUGAUGUGGUUGGUCCUGAGAUGAAUCAUCGACGACCCAGAAGUUUUUGGUUCUAUGUGUGCGGCGCUCAUAGAUGGAGGUUACAGUGGUGUCAUGCUCUAUAACAAUGUCAUUGGAAACUCGAUAUAUGGUUGUACCUUGAGUCUGACUAAUAAACGGAAAGACAUUUUUUUGUACAUAUUCUAUAUUGGCUCAA
rnacentral:sRNA from 1 species